GACGAACGCUGGCGGCGUGCUUAACACAUGCAAGUCGAACGGUGAAGCGCCUUCCUAUUUGGUGGGUGUGGAUGAGUGGCGAACGGGUGAGUAACACGUGAGUAACCUGCCCCCUUCUUCUGGAUAACCGCAUGAAAGUGUGGCUAAUACGGGAUAUUCUGGGUCUGUCGCAUGAUGGGUCUGGGAAAGAUAUUGUUUCGGUGGGGGAUGGGCUCGCGGCCUAUCAGCUUGUUGGUGGGGUGAUGGCCUACCAAGGCGGUGACGGGUAGCCGGCCUGAGAGGGUGGACGGUCACACUGGGACUGAGACACGGCCCAGACUCCUACGGGAGGCAGCAGUGGGGAAUAUUGCACAAUGGGCGCAAGCCUGAUGCAGCGACGCCGCGUGAGGGAUGGAGGCCUUCGGGUUGUGAACCUCUUUCGCCAGUGAAGCAGGCCUGCCUCGUUUGUGGGUGGGUUGACGGUAGCUGGAUAAGAAGCGCCGGCUAACUACGUG
rnacentral:rRNA from 1 species